GUGUUCACUCAGUAGCACAUACACUAAAGUCGGAGCAAUGUGGAGAUUAGCGUGACCCUUACACAAGGAAAACAUGCAGAUUCAUCAAAAGCUCCAUGUUUUU
ensembl:snRNA U6 U6 spliceosomal RNA